AUUACCGAGUUAUACAACUCAUCAACCCUGUGAACAUACCUAAACGUUGCUUCSGCGGGAACAGACGGCCCCGUAACACGGGCCGCCCCCGCCAGAGGACCCCCUAACUCUGUUUCUAUAAUGUUUCUUCUGAGUAAAACAAGCAAAUAAAUUAAAACUUUCAACAACGGAUCUCUUGGCUCUGGCAUCGAUGAAGAACGCAGCGAAAUGCGAUAAGUAAUGUGAAUUGCAGAAUUCAGUGAAUCAUCGAAUCUUUGAACGCACAUUGCGCCCGCCAGUAUUCUGGCGGGCAUGCCUGUUCGAGCGUCAUUACAACCCUCAGGCCCCCGGGCCUGGCGUUGGGGAUCGGCGGAGCCCCCCGCGGGCACACGCCGUCCCCCAAAUACAGUGGCGGUCCCGCCGCAGCUUCCAUUGCGUAGUAGCUAACACCUCGCAACUGGAGAGCGGCGCGGCCACGCCGUAAAACCCCCAACUUCUGAACGUUGACCUCGAAUCAGGUAGGAAUACCCGCUGAACUUAAGCAUAUCAAUAAGCGGAGGAAAAGAAACCAACAGGGAUUGCCCUAGUAACGGCGAGUGAAGCGGCAACAGCUCAAAUUUGAAAUCUGGCUCUCGGGCCCGAGUUGUAAUUUGUAGAGGAUGCUUUUGGUGAGGUGCCUUCCGAGUUCCCUGGAACGGGACGCCACAGAGGGUGAGAGCCCCGUCUGGUUGGACACCGAUCCUCUGUAAAGCUCCUUCGACGAGUCGAGUAGUUUGGGAAUGCUGCUCUAAAUGGGAGGUAUAUGUCUUCUAAAGCUAAAUACCGGCCAGAGACCGAUAGCGCACAAGUAGAGUGAUCGAAAGAUGAAAAGAACUUUGAAAAGAGAGUUAAAAAGUACGUGAAAUUGUUGAAAGGGAAGCGCUUGUGACCAGACUUGGGCUUGGUUGAUCAUCCAGGGUUCUCCCUGGUGCACUCUUCCGGCCCAGGCCAGCAUCAGUUCGCCCCGGGGGAAAAAGGCUUCGGGAAUGUGGCUCUCUCCGGGGAGUGUUAUAGCCCGUUGCGUAAUACCCUGUGGCGGACUGA
rnacentral:rRNA from 1 species